rnacentral:rRNA from 1 species
GUUGUAUGGUUAAGUGACUAAGCGUACACGGUGGAUGCCUGGGCAGUCAGAGGCGAUGAAGGACGUACUAACUUGCGAUAAGCGCAGAUAAGGCAGUAAGAGCCGUUUGAGUCUGCGAUUUCCGAAUGGGGAAACCCAACUGCAUAAGCAGUUACUGUUAACUGAAUACAUAGGUUAACAGAGCAAACCGGGGGAACUGAAACAUCUAAGUACCCCGAGGAGAAGAAAUCAACCGAGAUUCCGGUAGUAGCGGCGAGCGAACCUGGAUUAGCCCUUAAGCACUCGGUGAAGUAGGUGAACAAGCUGGAAAGCUUGGCGAUACAGGGUGAUAGCCCCGUAACCGACGCUUCAUCGAGCGUGAAAUCGAGUAGGGCGGGACACGUGAUAUCCUGUCUGAAUAUGGGGGGACCAUCCUCCAAGGCUAAAUACUCCUGACUGACCGAUAGUGAACCAGUACCGUGAGGGAAAGGCGAAAAGAACCCCUGUGAGGGGAGUGAAAUAGAACCUGAAACCGUGUACGUACAAGCAGUAGGAGCACCUUCGUGGUGUGACUGCGUACCUUUUGUAUAAUGGGUCAGCGACUUAUAUUCAGUGGCAAGGUUAACCGUAUAGGGGAGCCGUAGCGAAAGCGAGUCUUAACUGGGCGCUCAGUCUCUGGAUAUAGACCCGAAACCGGGUGAUCUAGCCAUGGGCAGGUUGAAGGUUGAGUAACAUCAACUGGAGGACCGAACCGACUAAUGUUGAAAAAUUAGCGGAUGACUUGUGGCUAGGGGUGAAAGGCCAAUCAAACUCGGAGAUAGCUGGUUCUCCCCGAAAGCUAUUUAGGUAGCGCCUCGGACGAAUACUACUGGGGGUAGAGCACUGUUAAGGCUAGGGGGUCAUCCCGACUUACCAACCCUUUGCAAACUCCGAAUACCAGUAAGUACUAUCCGGGAGACACACGGCGGGUGCUAACGUCCGUCGUGGAGAGGGAAACAACCCAGACCGCCAGCUAAGGUCCCAAAGUAUUGCUAAGUGGGAAACGAUGUGGGAAGGCUCAGACAGCUAGGAUGUUGGCUUAGAAGCAGCCAUCAUUUAAAGAAAGCGUAAUAGCUCACUAGUCGAGUCGGCCUGCGCGGAAGAUGUAACGGGGCUAAGCAAUACACCGAAGCUGCGGCAAUGUCUUUUAGACAUUGGGUAGGGGAGCGUUCUGUAAGCCGUUGAAGGUGAAUCGUAAGGUUUGCUGGAGGUAUCAGAAGUGCGAAUGCUGACAUGAGUAACGACAAAGGGGGUGAAAAACCUCCUCGCCGGAAGACCAAGGGUUCCUGUCCAACGUUAAUCGGGGCAGGGUGAGUCGACCCCUAAGGUGAGGCCGAAAGGCGUAAUCGAUGGGAAACGGGUUAAUAUUCCCGUACUUCUGACUAUUGCGAU